rnacentral:pre_miRNA from 1 species
ACAACAUUCAGACCAGCGGUCUGCCGAGCAAUAUUACCCGCUCGGUGAAAGAUUAUCCCUUUAUCGU